rnacentral:lncRNA from 1 species
AUGCUCGCGACGCAGCCAGCCCUGGCCGCGCCGCGUCCCGCCGCCCCGGCACCCUGCUCUGCUCGCCCACAACGGGCCGAGCACUUCGCCGCUCGCGUGGGAAAAAGCGCAAGCUUCGAGGACGCCCCUGCGAAUAAAAAUACCAAAACACAGCCAGCCACCCGACUCACAAAGCCAACACUCCCGGUCACCGCGGCGACACAGAGCCCCGCUAACGCAGGAAAAGAUGCGGUAUUACCUAGAGUCGCCAGUCUGCCUUCCACCACCCAUUUUGUCAUUCGAGCAGCGCUGGUUUAGGAACCUUGCACUCGGACUACCAGAGAGGUUAGGAUCGCAGAUAACCGCCCUUAGCUCCAUCCAAAGGGAAGGAAAGACUCUAACUCGCCAGCUCGGCUUCUGCGUAUUCGCUCUUACACCCUGAAUCACCCUAGGGUUUUGAGUCCUCUGAGUAAGGCCAGGUUUCAGCUUGAUCCUUCGUAAUUUCGGAUUUGGCUGUUGCUGCGGCUGCUGCAAAAGUUUGCAGAGGCCGCCAGCUUCCGCUGACAUCCGCUUGAAAAUCCACCACCACCUCCAACGGCCG